AUCCAGCUGACGAGUCCGAAACAGGAAGAAACGCGCGUCUUGGAU
rnacentral:hammerhead_ribozyme from 1 species